rnacentral:rRNA from 1 species
UACGAAGGGGGCUAGCGUUGCUCGGAAUCACUGGGCGUAAAGCGCACGUAGGCGGCUUGUUAAGUCAGGGGUGAAAUCCUGGAGCUCAACUCCAGAACUGCCUUUGAUACUGAGGAUCUCGAGUCCGGGAGAGGUGAGUGGAACUCCGAGUGUAGAGGUGAAAUUCGUAGAUAUUCGGAAGAACACCAGUGGCGAAGGCGGCUCACUGGCCCGGUACUGACGCUGAGGUGCGAAAGCGUGGGGAGCAAACAGG